rnacentral:rRNA from 1 species
UGGGGAAUUUUGGACAAUGGGGGCAACCCUGAUCCAGCAAUGCCGCGUGUGUGAAGAAGGCCUUCGGGUUGUAAAGCACUUUUGUCCGGAAAGAAAACGCCGUGGUUAAUACCCGUGGCGGAUGACGGUACCGGAAGAAUAAGCACCGGCUAACUACGUGCCAGCAGCCGCGGUAAUACGUAGGGUGCAAGCGUUAAUCGGAAUUACUGGGCGUAAAGCGUGCGCAGGCGGUCCGCUAAGACAGAUGUGAAAUCCCCGGGCUUAACCUGGGAACUGCAUUUGUGACUGGCGGGCUAGAGUAUGGCAGAGGGGGGUAGAAUUCCACGUGUAGCAGUGAAAUGCGUAGAGAUGUGGAGGAAUACCGAUGGCGAAGGCAGCCCCCUGGGCCAAUACUGACGCUCAUGCACGAAAAGCGUGGGGAGCAAAACAGGAUUAGAUACCCUGGUAGUCCACGCCCUAAACGAUGUCAACUAGUUGUUGGGGAUUCAUUUCCUUAGUAACGUAGCUAACGCGUG